UACCAGCACCCCGAGUGGUCGGGACGAUUAUUGGGCCUAAAGCAUCCGUAGCCGGCCUUACAAGUCCUCCGUUAAAUCCAGCUGCUUAACAGAUGGGCUGCGGAGGAUACUAUAAGACUAGGAGGCAGGAGAGGCAAGCGGUACUCAGUGGGUAGGGGUAAAAUCCGUUGAUCCAUUGAAGACCACCAGUGGCGAAGGCGGCUUGCCAGAAUGCGCUCGACGGUGAGGGAUGAAAGCUAGGGGAGCAAACCGG
rnacentral:rRNA from 1 species